AUGAAUCAUAAAAAGGCAGGAAUAUUAUUCAAGAGUAAAUCAACUUAAACCUUAAAUAACUCGGCCCUUGAUUUCGACACAUUUGGGUGAAGGAGAUCAGAGCUUCAUCGUUUCUACAUCGUCUUUCCAGACUUUCUAAAAUCUGCAGGUGUUCCAUCCAUCUCCUUGACCGCUUCUUCCCUUUCGGGGUCGCGGGGGUGCCGGAGCCUAUCCUGGCUACCGAUGGGCGAAGGCGGGGUACACCCUCGACAGGUCGCCAGUCUGUCGCAGGGCAUCUGCAGGUGUUUUAAAAGCUUUAUGUUCACAGAUGUUCAAAACUUUUUUUGGUUUUGUCUGUCUCGGGGGGCCUCUACAGCCAGCAGCCCCUGUGAUGUCACAGCUCCGUCUAUCAGACCCCCCAGUGGUGGGUGUGGCCUGAGCGCCCCGUAAACAGAAGGUUUAUCAGCCUGUUCCAUGUGCUCAUGAGUUAUCAUUAUGUCAUGAGCGUGCACGUGUGUCGGCGUGCAGGAAGACUCAUCCCUGCGGUCAACCAUCGCCACAACUGAACCAAAAGCGUCCCCUCCCCAGUAGAGCGAUGAGCAGGAAGAGAUGAGAGAGCUGGAAACAAGAACAGGAGAAACAUCAACACAUUAAACAUAAGAAAACAGAGAAAGAAGGUUAAAGGAAACUCAGAAAAGAAAAUAAGAUUGUAAAAAAAUACAAAAGACAGCAAGAGAAAACAGAAAAAACAGAUGAAAGCUGGAAAUGGAACAAGGUGGAAACAGAAGAACAUAAAACGAGGUGAGAACAGGAAACGAUGAUAAAAAUGGAAUAAGAGAAAAGAAAAAAAUAAAGUGGUAAAUAUAAACAAUAAAAAUUAACAGGUUGGGAAGGGGAUCCAAGAAAUACGAGGAAAAAGACUGAAAAUAAAAAAAAUAAAGACAAACUGAGUGAAAAUGGAAAUAAGUUUAUAAAGAUGUUAAAUGGUGAGAAAUUCUCUUUGAAACAAAAAAGAAAAGAAACAAAUGUAGUUCUACACAACAUUGCCAAGACAAAAGCAAAAGAGGAAAAGCAAACUUAGGUGAGAUCAGGAAUAAAAGAAUGACGGGGAAGAAACUAAGCAGCAAGGAAAAACCAAAUCAAUAUUUAAAACAGAAGAAAAACAAAAGUGUUUAUUAAAUAAGAAUGAGAAACAUGGAAGGAAAAAAGAAAAAACAAAA